UGAUGACUGGGUCAUACAUCUUUGAACCAAAGCCUAUAUCAUGUUUGGGAGCAUGCUACAGGACUGUGUGCGCCCACUGUGCAGUGCCUGAAACGGUCAACUAUGCUAUAUUUGAAUGUGCUGCUUAUGUAGAGGAGAGGCUGUGACUGAGAAAGGCAGUUGAGAUGAAAAGUAGCCUAGCUGUGGUCUUUUGUGCCUGAACUCUCCUGUUGACCUACACAUGAUGCGGAUGAUGGAUAGAACACAUUCCCCUGGACUGUCUGCACCAUGGUACCGUCAUCAGUUUGUUCCAGGCUGAGAAAAAGACUGUCAGACUUGAGACUGGAGCUGAGAAGUGUUUCCCUGUUCUUGGAGGGUGCCCAAGUCCUUCUUUGUGCGCAACUGGCAUAAGAAGUCCAAACCAAGUUUGGCACCCUGCCAGGUCCUAGAGGCAGAAAUGCUGGCAUUAGAGACUAGAAUGUUAAUGGGGGGUUUGUCUGU